CUACAGCUGUGAACUGUGUGCAAUGCCAUCCAUCUGAUUGCAUUGUUGCUACCAGUGGGACAGAUGGUUUGGUAAAGAUUUGGACACCAAGUGCUUCUGCCCCCCAUCCCUUCUAACUCCGGAAUGAGCCCAAGCCCAAAUUAUGAGAUUUAUGUCCGAUUGAAGCACUUUGAUAUUGAAGUUGAGGACGAGAAAUUCAAUUCUAGAUAGUUGCUCGUAAAGAUUACUAGAUUUUUGUCUCUAACCAUUACUUGUACCAACUGCUUGAAAAUAUC